CCUACGGGAGGCAGCAGUGGGGAAUAUUGCACAAUGGGGGAAACCCUGAUGCAGCGACGCCGCGUGAGUGAAGAAGUAUUUCGGUAUGUAAAGCUCUAUCAGUAGGGAAGAAAAUGACGGUACCUGAUCAAGAAGCCCCGGCUAACUACGUGACAGCAGCCGCGGUAAUACGUCGGGGGCAAGCGUAAUCCGGAUUUACUGGGUGUAAAGGGAGCGUAGAGGGUAGUAAAAGCCCGGAGUGAAAUGCCGGGGCUUAACCCCAGAACUGCUUUGGAAACUGGGAGGCUAGAGUGCAGGAGAGGUAAGUGGAAUUCCUAGUGUAGCGGUGAAAUGCGGAGAUAUUAGGAAGAACCCC
rnacentral:rRNA from 1 species